UAGACUUUCUAAGAUAACAAUACGAAUACUAAAAAUCUGGACUAAAAUAAGGCGUAUAGGUACAGGUUUCAAUUUGUUAGCGGGCAUGACGUUAAACAGCGAAUCAAAGAAUUCAACUUUAUUUAUAACUAAUAUAGGACCAUGCUGUUGAUUAAAAAGUACUCCAUUCCAGGACCUUUUGUGUUCCAAAUAAUUAAUAUUAUCAAUAAUUGAUAAGUUCCAGUUCGACGGGUUCAACUUGACAGAAAGAUUUGACAGCAGAGAAAACUGUGUAUCUUAUAAUCGGCAUGACUUUAUCAGAUGACAAUACUAAUACUAAAAUAAGGCUUGCGCAUAGUUAUAUACUUUAAUUCAGUCACAGACCCGCGAUAUCACGGGUGUGUUCUAGU
rnacentral:lncRNA from 1 species